rnacentral:rRNA from 1 species
UACGUAGGGUCCGAGCGUUGUCCGGAAUUAUUGGGCGUAAAGAGCUCGUAGGUGGCUUGUCACGUCGGGUGUGAAAGCUUGGGGCUUAACUCCAGGUCUGCAUUCGAUACGGGCUGGCUAGAGGUAGGUAGGGGAGAACGGAAUUCCUGGUGUAGCGGUGAAAUGCGCAGAUAUCAGGAGGAACACCGGUGGCGAAGGCGGGUCUCGUGGGCAGUAACUGACGCUGAGGAGCGAAAGCGUGGGGAGCGAACAGG